rnacentral:rRNA from 1 species
GACUACUGGGGUAUCUAAUCCCGUUUGCUACCCUAGCUUUCGCACCUCAGCGUCAGUAUCGAUCCAGUAAGCCGCUUUCGCCACCGGUGUUCCUCCAGAUAUCUACGCAUUUCACCGCUCCACCUGGAGUUCCGCUUACCCCUAUCGAUCUCUAGCCCGCCAGUAUCAGGCGCAAUUCCUCGGUUGAGCCGAGGGAUUUCACACAUGACUUAACGGACCGCCUACGUGCGCUUUAUGCCCAGUAAUUCCGAACAACGUUUGCAACCUCUGUCUUACCGCGGCUGCUGGCACAGAGUUAGCCGUUGCUUCCUUUGGUCUUGGUCAAUUCUGCCGUUGUUCACGGCAGUGAAUUCCUAGAACCUGACAGCAGUUUACAACCCGAAGGCCUUCAUCCUGCACGCGGUGUCGCUCCGUCAGGCUUUCGCCCAUUGCGGAAGAUUCUCGACUGCAGCCCCCCGUAGG